ACAAACGCUCACAUUCGUUGCAAUUUCGUUCAGAUAACGUCAAAUAAAUCACAAACGAAAACAUAGAAAACCGAAAAAACAGAAAAUUGAGUAAAUAUAAUUAAAGAACGUCACUACAUGGAUAUUUCUUUGAUCAUUAUAUUAAAAGAAAAAUAUUUGUUUCACAUCCCAGAAAAUUCAAAAUCAGAAAUAAAUGAAAACGCAUUUGUUUUAUGUGAAAUGUGAGCAUGAUUAACAAAGCAUUUUCCAAGGUGUGUGAUUAAAAUAAUUCUUGGAAGACCAACAAAUUUCUGUUAAGCUGGUCCAAAAGGCGCUGUCGUAGCUGCAAAUAUAACAGAAUCGAUUUAUUCGAAUAUUUCUUAAGUAAUACCUUUUUAAUACAAAUGAAAUGCAAGAAAAAGUUUCUUGUAAGUAAACAAUAGAGUUACUAUUACAUUAAAAAUAUAUUAAAAGCAUUUUUCGUUCUCAUUGAAAAAGAAUAUUUACAUUACUUGUUGAAAGGGAUUUCAACAUUUAUAAAGAUUGCUGAGAUUAAUUGCAACAAACAGUUCAUAUGAUUUGUCAAUAGUGUUAUAUUUACUACUUACAUUAUCGGAGUCAUAAGGAAUUUAUCAAAUUUUAUCGUGGCAAAUAUUUAUUUGAGACACUGGAUAUAGGGCAUAAGAAUGGCUCCUCUAUCUUGCCCAACUGACUCCAUCGAUUUCUGGAGAAAUGAGAUGCCAGAACGCGCCGAAGUCAGCUGCCUUAUGCCAAAUGGUAUUCUUAUUCUAACAGUAGUACCCAUUAAUUGUACUAUCCGGGAAAUCAAAACGGAAGUUAUUAGAGAGGCAAAAAACUUCCCGCUAUGUCAUUUAAUAAAAGAUCCUUGUGACUAUGAAGUCAGUGGUAUUUCAAAUUUUGCUAAUGUAGACUGUUUUACUGACGAAACCAAACGUCUAUCGGAAAUACAACCAUUUUUUUGUUUACUUCGUUUGGGAGAACGCACAGAACCCUCAACUAUAUCAAGUGAUUAUGAGCUAUCCAAGCUGGUUAGUAAUAUGAUUGGAAAAUCAUUUGAAGAAUAUAGCGCGCAACGGACACCGGAAGUAGAUGACUUUCGGCGCAAACUGACGCAUCUCUGUGAUAAAAUGGAACAAGUGCGGUCUCGCUUCACUUGGUCAGAGAAGUUGCUCUAUGAACAUCCCAUGCGUGUUGCAAAUACCCCCGCUAUGCCCGAACUAAUACGUAAACGACUGGGUGGUACAAGUUUUCUUAUUGUUGUUAAAUUAGAGAAUGACGAAGGCUCCUAUACAAUUCCUGUUAGUGAACACGAUACUUCAAGUACAGUGAUUGAAUCUGCACUAAUGAAGAUGCAGCGCUCUCAAAUAAGAGUAGGAGAUCGACCAUCAGACUAUAUACUAAAAGUACGUGGUCGCGACGAAUUUAUUUUCGGUGAAUACCCGAUUAUUCAGUUCAUAUAUAUACAGGAAAGUCUUUCCGGUUCCGAUGUUCCCAAUGUUGUUUUAAAACCUAUACACACACUACAAUCGUAUAUAAACUACAGGAAUGAUUUAAACUUUUCUCACAAGCGAACACGAAGGCCGGAAUAUAAUCCUCCAUCUUUGCUAAACGAUCCGUGCCAAGACCGAAAGGCCAUUUCAUCGUGGGACAUAUUAAGUCCUUUCAAAUUACGAAUUCAUCAAAUCGAGAAUGUAAAUUGUGAUCUCUCUCGCGCUAUCAAAGUGGGUGUACAUAUUGGUCUUUUCCAUGGAGAGCGUCGUCUUUGUGCAACACAGUCCAUUGAAAUAGCAAUUAGUAACAAUCGUUCAUUUACAUUCGAGAAAGACAUUUCUUUCGAUAUACAAGUACAAAAUUUGCCUCGAAUGGCGCGUUUAUGCAUGGUUGUCUACGAAGUAACGAAAGCAUCGAGAUCCAAAAAAUCUUCAAACUCAAAUCGCGAUAAUAUUUACAAAGAAGCCAAUACAUAUGUAAAUAACAACCCCUUGGCUUGGGUUAAUACGACCAUAUUUGACUACAAACAUCAAAUGCUAUCUGGCUGUAUAUCCCUCUACACAUGGACUUACGCAGAUGAUAUUCAGUCGGAGGAAAUUUUCCACCCCCUAGGUACGAUUGAACCAAAUCCUCGUAAAGAUGGAUGUGCUAUAGUUAAAUUAGCAUUUCAGUGUUCCAGUUAUGAAAAUAUACAGUUUCCAUCGAUGUUAGCGGUACUCAAGUAUGCAGAAGAGUUACAUCAUGGGGAAGUACUUAGUAGCGAUAAAUUACAUGAAAACUCCAAACCGAUCAGCGCUAUGCUCUCACAGUAUCUUCGCAUAGAUAAAGUAUAUGAAAUGCAUGAUCAAGAUCGCAAUGCACUAUGGUCGAGAAGAUAUGAAAUUUUGGCCGAAGCUCCUGAGGAGUUAUCUACUUUGUUGCACUGUGUUAAUUGGAACGAACGUGACGAAGUAGCAGAGACGUGGAAUUUAUUGCAACAAUGGCCUGCAAUAUCUGUAGAGAGAUCACUGGAAUUACUUGACUAUGCGUAUCCGGAUCCAGCGGUUCGAAGUUUCGCCAUACGCUGCCUCCGUUUUUUGAGAGAUGAGGAACUAUUGCUAUAUCUCUUACAACUGGUGCAAGCCAUGAAACAUGAGUCUUAUCUAGACUGCGAUUUAGUAACGUUUCUGCUCGAGCGGGCGUUGCGCAAUCAACGAAUUGGUCACUAUUUCUUUUGGCAUUUGCGAUCUGAAAUGCAAACUCUUUCCAUGCAGACUCGCUUUGGUCUAUUACUUGAAGGGUACCUCAAAGGUUGCAAACCACACGUGCCUCACCUUUGCAAACAACUAAAAGUUUUAGACGCCCUCAAAGCUGGUUCUCUGAUUGCAAAAAAAGGAAGCAAAGAAAAAGGUCGAAAGGAGAUGCAAGACUUUCUUUCCAGUCCAAGCAAUAGUAGUAUAUUCCAGAGCAUACAAAACCCAUUGAAUCCCAGUUUUCGAUGCAAAGGUAUACAGCCAGAAAAAUGCAAAGUAAUGGACUCGAAAAUGAGACCACUCUGGAUUGUGCUAAAAAACGCGGAUCAAAGUUGUAAUGAUAUUUAUAUAAUAUUUAAAAAUGGCGACGAUUUACGGCAGGAUAUGUUAACAUUGCAAAUGUUGCGUGUCAUGGACCAAUUGUGGAAAAAUGAAGGUAUGGAUUUUCGCAUGAAUAUUUACAACUGCAUUAGUAUGGAACGUCGUUUAGGAAUGAUUGAAGUGGUGCUAAAUGCUGAAACAAUCGCCAAUAUUCAAAAAGAGAAGGGUAUGUUCUCAGCAACAUCACCAUUUAAGAAAGGCUCCCUAUUUAGUUGGUUGAAGGAAUAUAAUCGUACUGAAGAAGAAAUGAAUAAAGCAAUAAACGAAUUUACAUUGAGUUGCGCUGGAUAUUGUGUAGCCACAUAUGUUCUAGGUGUAGCCGAUCGACAUUCAGAUAACAUAAUGGUUAAACGUAACGGGCAGCUUUUUCAUAUUGACUUCGGUCACAUACUAGGCCACUUUAAAGAGAAAUUUGGUGUGCGUCGUGAGAGAGUUCCUUUUGUAUUAACGCAUGAUUUUGUAUAUGUCAUAAGUAAAGGACGUAACGACCGAGAUUCGGAAGAAUUUCUUUAUUUUCAAAAUAUGUGCGAAAAGGCAUUUUUGGUGUUACGAAAACAUGGCUGUCUUAUAUUAUCUCUAUUUUCAAUGAUGAUUUCAACCGGACUACCAGAACUAUCCUCUGAAAAAGAUCUUAAUUACUUAAAGGAAACUCUAGUUCUUGACUAUACCGAGGAGAAAGCCCGCGAACACUUCCGUUCAAAGUUUAGCGAAGCUUUAGUCAACUCUUGGAAAACUUCUUUAAAUUGGGCUUCGCAUAAUUUUUCAAAAAAUAAUAAGCAGUAGACAAAUGCAUUUAAAGUAUUAACGCAUAAAUCAGCAUUUUGAAUUUGAGUUAAAACAAAUUCUAAUGGUAGUAAUAGCUCUGUAAUUCGCUGUAAUAUGCUGCCACUCACAACAUUGAUUACGUUAAGCCUUCAUGAGUAAUGUUUCAAACACUUGGAAACUCAUUAAUACUUUUAAAUUUUUCCAAAUACAUAAAUUAAUUAGUACCAAAAA